GAUGAAGAACGCAGCGAAAUGCGAUAAGUAAUGCGAAUUGCAGAAUUCAGUGAAUCAUCGAAUCUUUGAACGCACAUUGCGCCCGCUAGUAUUCUGGCGGGCAUGCCUGUCUGAGCGUCAUUUCAACCCUCGCCCCCGGCUUUUGCUGGGAGCGGUGUUGGGGAUCGGCCGCCCGUCACUGGGAGGCCGGCCCCGAAAUAGAGUGGCGACCACGCCGUGUGCUCCUCUGCGUAGUAGUAACUCACCUCGCAGGCGGACAGCGGUGCGGCCUGCCGUAAAACCCCCAACUCUUUCUGGUUGACCUCAGAUCAGGUAGGAAUACCCGCUGAACUUAAGCAUAUCAAUAAGCGGAGGA
rnacentral:misc_RNA from 1 species